rnacentral:rRNA from 1 species
AACGGCUCACCAAGGCAACUCUCGAUGCGUAGCCGACCUGAGAGGGUGAUUUCGGCCACACUGGGACUGAGACACGGCCCAGACCUACGGGAGGCAGCAGUAGGGAACUUCCGCAAUGGACGAAAGUCUGACGGAGCAACGCCGCGUGAGUGAUGAAGGUUUUUCCGGAUCGUAAAGCUCUGUUGUUAGGGAAGAACAAGUACCGUUCGAAAGGGCGGUACCUUGACGGUACCUAACCAGAAAGCCACGGCUAACUACGUGCCAGCAGCCGCGGUAAUACGUAGGUGGCAAGCGUUGUCCUGAGGAAUUAUUGGGCGUAAAGGGCUCGCAGGCGGUUUCCGUUUAAGUCUGAUGACUGAAAGCCCCCGGCUCAACCGGGGAGGGUCAUUGGAAACUGGGGAACUUGAGUGCGAAGAGAGAGUGGAAUUCCACGUGUAGCGGUGAAAUGCGUAGAGAUGUGGAGGAACACCAGUGGCGAAGGCGACUCUCUGGUCUGUAACUGACGCUGAGGAGCGAAAGCGUGGGGAGCGAACAGGAUUAGACCCUGUCGGUAGUCCACGCCGUAAACGAUGAGUGCUAAGUGUUAGGGGGUUUCCGCCCCUUAGUGCUGCAGCUAACGCAUUAAGCACUCCGCCUGGGGAGUACGGUCGCAAGACUGAGGAACUCAAAGGAAUUGACGGGGGAGCCCGCACAAGCGGUGGAGCAUGUGGUUUAAUUCGAAGCAACGCGAAGAACCUUACCAGGUCUUGACAUCCUCUGACAAUCCUAGAGAUAGGACGUCCUUCGGGGGCAGAGUGACAGGUGGUGCAUGGUUGUCGUCAGCUCGUGUCGUGAGAUGUUGGGUUAAGUCCCGCAACGAGCGCAACCCUUGAUCUUAGUUGCCAGCAUUCAGUUGGGCACUCUAAGGUGACUGCGUGACAAACCGGAGGAAGGGGGAUGACGUCAAAUCAUCAUGCCCCUUAUGACCUGGGCUACACACGUGCUACAAUGGACAGAACAAAGGGCAGCGAAACCGCGAGGUUAAGCCAAUCCCAAAUCUGUUCUCAGUUCGGAUCGCAGUCUGCACGUACUCGACUGCGUGAAGCUGGCGUAAUCGCUAGUAAUCGCGGAUUUAAACAGCAUGCCGCGGUGAAUACGU